rnacentral:tRNA from 1 species
GGGCGCUUGGUCUAGGGGUAUGAUUUUCGCUUUGCACUACACGGUGAUUGUGAACGGUCGCGAGUUCAAUUCUCGCAGUGUCCA